rnacentral:lncRNA from 1 species
CUUGAGAAGCUAACCAAAGAAAUAGUUUACCGUAGUCUAUCACCGACAAUUUGCCUCGUAAAGUUCUCACAGCCAUCUGCUUGACAAAGCACUAUUGACAUACGAAGCGAAUUACAAAGGUUCAAAUUAUCGCAGAAUUGCAAGCUUAUUUUCGCAGUCUCAUGCUUUUUGUUGGGCACCGUGAGAUAAAAUAGAUAGAUACCUGUUUAUUUAAAUUGAAGAUGUAUAUAAUCUUUUACAUAUUAAUUAACAUUUUAAUAUCAUUUAAAUAUUUAAAAAAACAUUUUAGACACUAGUUUCAAUCAAUAAUUUGGCGAAAAAUCAGAUAAAAAGCAUGGAAAAGCGAGAAAAAUCACAGAUUGGCACCACGGAAUCGUAACCCUAUGGGUAAUGAGAGUCGGUACAUAGACCAUAAAUUCCAAAAACAUGUCUUAUUAGAUAUUCUGGGGUAUGUGAUAUAAACUUCGGUGGGGGCGACGACUUGUGAGGAGUUUAUGUCCUGGCAAGCCUUUCCAGGCACAAUGAUAUUUACCUAUUUUGUCUAGGUAGUUCUACCCCUUUGGUCUGAUGGGCGCUAUCCGAAAAAUAUGUAUUAUUAUAUGUUGUUUAUGGUGCCCAUCUUGAAAUCUUGAAGGAUAGACAUGAUAAUGUUUUAGCUGGCUGUUGGAGUAGGGCCUCCAACUCGAUGCCGAGUUUGUCCAUCCAUCUCUCGCAAUUGUGCCACCAGCUAAUGCAUAACAUCACUAAUUUGCCAGAACAUUUUUCACUAAAGUUCUAUCCCUCUCAAUUGAAAUUUUCAAAAGCUAAUUCAUCAAUGAGGUGUUUACUGCCCACAAUACAAGGUGUUUUGUGUAAGACACUUAUAAGAUCCUAACCUACCUUACACACUCAAUGGACGAACCACAGCAAUAUUUCCUAUUAUUUUAUCACCGACAGUUUGCCGCAUAAAGUCAUAGCGUAGAGCCACGAUAUCUCCGUGUUUGACAAAGACGCGUUUAAGGCCCAUGCGUUCUAUCCACAAUAUCUUGAUUGACGUGUGGCACGUGGCAGAUACUAGACACGUGUCGUCAAGCCAUGGCUCCAGCUGUGAGAGGAUAUAAGCUUCCCCUGAGAGCAUAUCCUUUGCUACUUCUAUAUAAAAGCAGCCGGACGAUCGCUAGGCAGACGUACGAAGCGCGAAGAACUGUAAAGGCGAGGAAAGGGGAUUGAGCGUUAGCACCAGGUGAAUCUCUCGAUAUGUUUUAUUUCCCUCCAGUGUGGAUCGGCCGGGAUUCCAUGCUUGGAUCGCAAUUUUUCUCUGGCAUUUUGCGACUCUACGCCAUGGACGAUGCAAUGUGUGAAACCCCAGCCAGCGCCAUCGUGUUCCCGCCUCCUCCUCCAUCCCCCUCUCGCAAUCCCGGCCAAGAUUCAUGGAUUCCGGCAUCACACGCUGCUCCUUGUUUGGCUGCGAUCGUCUGAUCCGGUGCAUGUGUUCCAUUGUUUGCAGGAUUCGAUCGAUCAGAUCAAGGCGGCCCGGAAAUAUGGCAGAGUAUGGAGGAUAUGGAGGAGCUCCGGACACGACGGCAGCGCCGUACGGAAGUGGACCCGAAUAUUCGAGCUAUGGCGGAGGACGGAUGGACGAGUCCGAGCCAAGGGGCUUCUUCCACCACGACAAGAAGCCGGGGCACGAGCACCACCACGAGCAGCCCCAUCGCUUCGAUCAGGAGAAUGUAGGUGGUGGCUAUGGUGAGCAGCAGCAGCAGAGUGGCUAUCACAGCAGACCAGGCGGCGGUGGUGGCAGCGCACACGAAGAGGUUUUUAAAAUCGUCUGCGAGGCAAAUCCCAGCUACUAUCUCACUGAUCGCGGUGGAGAGCUCGUGCUAGCACCUGGAAACGAAUCCAAUCCUCAUCAGGUACUUCGUUUGUCCAAAACUUUUUAAGUUCGUGUUUCGCAUCGCUUAAACUCGAGAGUUUGUUCUUGGUGAUGUAAUAGCAAUGGUACAAGGACACAAGGCACAGCUCCAAGAAGGACAAGGAGGGCUUCCCUGGCUUCUCACUCAUUAACAAAGCGAGCGGCUUAGCACUUUAUCACGACGACAAGAAAGAUAAAGUAAGAUUGUCUGCUUGUGAGCGUUUUUUCUAAAGUUUUAGUCGUGCUCGUGUGUUGUUUGUUGCUUGCAGGUGUAUCUAAAACCAUAUGACGCCAAUGACACAAACGAGUCUUUCCUGUGGAGCCAAAGCGCGGAUGUCGGGCAUGGCUACCAGUGCAUCCGUCCAUUUACAGACGUCCACCUCAACCUGGACGCUUAUCGUGGCGACAAAGAGCACGGAGGUGUCAAGGAUGGAACGAACGUGAUCUUGCACAAGUGGAACAAGCAGGAAAAUCAAAAGUGGAAAAUCCUACCGAUAAGUAAGUUACAUUCUUUUUCUUGUUUGGCUGUGAUAAACUACACUUCCUGUGACACUAACUCUUCUGCUACCCAUUGUAGCUUCUACUGGUGCUUAUGGUGCUGAAGCGCAGUCUUAUGGUACAAGUGCUGCCUAUGGUGGUGGACAAGGCCAGUCUUACGGUAAGUGACUUUUUACCUAAACUGCGAAAGCUCUCUCAUGGCGCCGGCCUUUCAGGACAACAAACUGUAAAGCUUUCCUGCGAAGCGAGACCAGACUAUUACGUUACUGUUCGCGGUGACUCUGUGGUUCUCGCCGCUAGUGAGGAAUCUGAUCCAAGACAGGUAUAAAACACACAGUCAAUGCGUCGGUGAUCUCAUAUAGCUUGUCGCCGUUUCAGGAAUGGUUCCAGGACAACAAGCUGGCUGCAAACAUGAAAGACGAGUCAGGCUCGCCUGCGUUCGUGUUGAUCAACAAGGCCACACAGAAGGCACUGCAGCAUGGAGAAAAAGAAUUUGAUAAGGUAAAAGGAUAUAGAUCUUUCAUGAGUUAUAAAACUUUUGUUUCGACAGGUGCGAGUAGUGUCCCUUCACGGCGACCGCCCCGACGAAUCGGUGCUGUGGACGCUCAGCGCUGACGUUGGGAAGGGAUACAGAUGCCUGCGCCCUGUUGGAAACAUCCAUCUGAAUCUGGACGCGAGCCACGGCGAUGAGAAGCACGGUGGCGUUCACGACGGCACGGAGCUCAUCCUCUUCAAGUGGCUGAAGCGGGAGAACCAGAAGUGGCGCCUCACGUACGUGUAAAUACUAGGAACUUUGCGAUGUUAAUAAUUAACACUACUGUAAAUAAACGUUUGGGUAAGUAAAGUGAAAGAAAAAUUUCCUUUUUUCUUGAAAUGAUGAAGAUCCUGCCUAGCCUAUGUCACGGUCUGGGUCAAGGUCUGAAAGCUAUGAACGUAUAAGCGUGUUGUAUACGGGACGGCAAGAUGGAGAUGAUAAAACGAAAGAUGGUGAUUGUGCCUUUAAUUCAUCGCAUUCACUUGGAACGACGGCCAUGGUCUGCUCGACGCUGGUGGUGGUGACUUUCGUUGUAUCCUUCUUCCUUGUUUCAAUUCCCAACCCUUCCGAGGCAUCGCUCCUGGAUGACCAGCACGUCCUCUUGCUUACAAAAGCUUCGCUACAGGAUCCUCUCGAGCAGCUCAAGGGAUGGACGAACCGAAGCUCCAUUUGCUCGUGGCGAGGCGUGACUUGCGACGAGAGAGAGCUCGCGGUGGUGGGAUUGAAUCUCUCGUCCAUGGGUCUCGGAGGCCGGCUCGACACCUUGCAUCUCCUCGGCAGGCUCGAGAGCCUGACGCUUCUCAAUCUCGAGAACAACAAUCUGCAAGGCUGGAUUCCACCACAAAUCGCCAACCACACCCUCCUGGAAGAGCUCCACCUUGGAGGCAACCCCCUCGCCCCAGCAUCCAUCCCCGAGCAGCUCUGUUGCCUCCAUAGCUUGCGAGUUCUAGAGCUCGACAGCUCCAAUCUUCACGGCUCCAUUCCAGGCUGCUAUGGAAAUUUCACCAGGAUGGAGAAGCUGCUGCUCAAGGAGAACUUCCUCACAGGCCCAAUCCCGGACUCCCUCUCGAGAAUGGAAGCUCUGCAAGAGCUCGACCUUGCCGCCAACACGCUCACUGGGCCCAUUCCACCGUCGCUGGGUAGCCUCCAAAAUCUCCGGAUCCUCUACUUGUGGCAAAACCAGCUCUCCGGAAGAGUUCCACCGCACUUGGGAAACCUCACCAUGCUUGAAUGCUUCGAUGUUGCCAACAACGGCCUCGGAGGGGAGCUUCCACGGGAACUGUCCAACUUGCGAAACCUGAGGGAGUUCCACGUGUUUAAAAACAGCUUCACUGGAGAAUUCCCUCCAUGGAUCGCGGAGCAUCCUUAUCUUGUGGAUAUCGGCCUGACGGUGAAUCAAUUCUACGGUCCCAUCCCGCAGAAUCUCGGAGUUAACAGCAAGCUGCAAGGAAUGGAUCUGGGAACCAACAAGUUCACAGGUGAGAUUCCACCAAACUUGUGCAUGCACAACGAGUUGGUUUACCUGGUUCUUCUUGAAAACGAGCUGUCGGGGCCGAUUCCACGAGGAUUACUCCAGUGUCAAACGUUGAAAAGGCUAAGGUUGGAGAACAACAACCUCACGGGUGACAUCAACUUCGACGCGCCGGCUCUCACCAUAGCGAUAAUCCGCAAGAAUAAUCUGGAUGGCGGCCUGUUUAUAGAAGCGAGGAGUAACAUGUCAGCACUGCAAACGCUGGAUCUACGCUCGAAUCGAAUGAAAGGCGACUUACCAGAGAAGCUGAGCUCGCUCACGGGUUUGCAGAAGCUUCUGUUGGCCGGAAAUCGUUUCUCCGGAAGCAUUCCUCGCAACCUCGGCUUCAAGUUGAAGCAGCUCGAAGUCCUUGAUCUCAGUGACAACAAUCUCGAAGGAGGGAUACCCCUGUCGGUUUCCAGCUGCAGCAACCUGGUCACGCUCAAUCUCAGCAGGAACAGCCUCAGUGGGACGAUUGCUCUUGAGAGGAUGGACAAGCUUAACGCACUGGAUCUCUCGCACAACCAGCUUCACGGUGGAAUACCUCUGGCCAUUGGACGAUCUCCUGCUCUUGAGAACCUUGAUCUCUCGUUCAACAAUCUGUCCGGAGAGGUGCCGGCCUUUUGCAAGAGGAUGGUGACCGACAUCACAGGGAAUCCCAUGCUCUGUUGGCCAGAGCAGUGCAAACUCGAGGAAAAAGACGUGGAGCGGCAAGUACUUCACACCAGGGCCCUGUAUAUCGCGGUAGCAACGAUCUCCACGGUCGCGUUUAUUCUGAUCGUUGGGAGCUGCCUGUCAUUCUGCUGCCCGCCAUACAAAAACCGGGAGCUUGAAAAAAAGAAGUGGGAGAUAAAUUGGUACCAUACCAAGAAAGGGUCCGUGGAAGACGUCUUGGAGUGUGUGGAGAAGGGUGACAAACUCGUAUCUGGCCGAAGAAGCAGUGUUUAUGUAGGGAUGCUGAAGGACCAUGGCAUUCGAGUUGCUGUGAAGAAGCUCCAGGCAACAGAUGAUAGCCGAUGGGAGUUUGACGCUGAGGUUGCAACACUGGGAGCGAUGCGGCACAGAAACGUUGUCAAGCUGCUUGCUUCCUGCACAGACGGAGAAACUUAUCUCUUGGUAUAUGAAUAUAUGCCAAUGGGAAACCUGAGGGGACUCCUUCAUGGUAAGAUGGCGAAGAGCGUCAGCCUUGGGUGGGACAAGCGGAUUGAUAUCAUCUGCGGCAUAGCCGAUGGACUUGCGUACUUGCACCACGACUACGGCCCCAAAGUCGUCCACCGAGACGUCAAGUGUGAGAACAUUCUCUUGGAUGCGGACAUGCAACCCCGA